GCAGCCUGAAUAUUCUGAACGUUACUAAUGGGUCAUACGUCUAUACUGGUGGGCUAAGCCCCAAAUUUUCUUAUUUUGCAUUCGCAAAAUGGAAAGAACCAGAAGACUUCACGUGUUCACAUAAGUACAUAAAUGAAACAGUAGAAAAACUGUAUGAUGAACCUUCUGAUAUAUUUGGAGUCGGACAACACAAAAUCCCUUACAAGUAUGUUUUAUACGGUGGAAAAAAUCACACUUGUUAUGUUGUCAUCAACGUGAACAAAAAAGGAACAAAUGGAUUUUUAUCAAACAUGUUCAAUUAGGAAAGUGUAUCUAUGAUACUGGGAUGACGCUUUUUAAUAGUCCUCCACAUUUUGGUUACUAUCUGAACCUUACUAAGAACUGUUUUGACCCAACAACUCAGUAUCAAUUUCAUCAAUCUGGCUCCAUAUUAAAACCGAAUAGAAGAGGUUGUCUUGUCGGAGGAAGAGCCUUACAAGAUUUGUUUUUGAUAUACGAAAAGAAAGGUGACAUUGCUGCUGCAUGCAAUGACGCAAACGCCUUAACCCAAACUUUUCAAGGUGGAAUAUUUACUUUCGACUUUAAUAAAUGUGCAGUACCUCCAGGAUAUAUUAAACGUCAUGUCUACAUGGGAAUAGCCAAAUGUAAUAAUGAAGAAGAUCAGUGAUUUCAUUUUGGUUCAGUGGCAUGUACUGGACAAAAGAUAGCGAAUGCUAGUUGUUCUAAAAAUCAAUAUAUGGUAGUAAAAGUGGCUGAAUAUCGUGGAUUGAGUAUAGGAAGCUCUUGUGGCUCAAGUUAUGAUUACAAUUGUAGUGUUGAUAUCACAUGUGACCUUAAAAAUUACUGUGAUGGUGAAAGAAAAUGUGAUGUAUUUGUUGAUGAUAAUCAUUUUCCUUCAAAUAUUUGUCCUGGUUUGGAGAAAUAUCUUUACUUUGAAUAUCAAUGUAACGACACAAGUAUGCCACACAGAGAGAUUUGCAAUUUUCCCGAAAGUCCUCCAUUAAAUAUAUCAAUUUCU